rnacentral:rRNA from 1 species
GACGAACGCUGGCGGCGUGCCUAAUACAUGCAAGUAGAACGCUGAAGCGAGGAGCUUACUCUUCUUGGAUGAGUUGCGAACGGGUGAGUAACGCGUAGGUAACCUGCCUUGUAGCGGGGGAUAACUAUUGGAAACGAUAGCUAAUACCGCAUAACAAUGGAUGACACAUGUCAUUUAUUUGAAAGGGGCAAUUGCUCCACUACAAGAUGGACCUGCGUUGUAUUAGCUAGUAGGUGAGGUAAUGGCUCACCUAGGCGACGAUACAUAGCCGACCUGAGAGGGUGAUCGGCCGCACUGGGACUGAGACACGGCCCAGACUCCUACGGGAGGCAGCAGUAGGGAAUCUUCGGCAAUGGGGGCAACCCUGACCGAGCAACGCCGCGUGAGUGAAGAAGGUUUUCGGAUCGUAAAGCUCUGUUGUAAGUCAAGAACGGGUGUGAGAGUGGAAAGUUCACACUGUGACGGUAGCUUACCAGAAAGGGACGGCUAACUACGUG